rnacentral:tRNA from 1 species
GGGGUUGUGGCUCAGUGGUAGAGUGCUUGCCUAGCAUGUAUGAGGCCCUGGGUUCGAUCCUCAGCACCACA